AACGUAGGUGGCGAGCGUUAUCCGGAUUUACUGGGCGUAAAGCGUGCGCAGGCGGUUAUAUAAGACAGUUGUGAAAUCCCCGGGCUCAACCUGGGAAUUGCAUCUGUGACUGUAUAGCUAGAGUACGGUAGAGGGGGAUGGAAUUCCGCGUGUAGCAGUGAAAUGCGUAGAUAUGCGGAGGAACACCGAUGGCGAAGGCGGAUCUCUGGGCCUUACCUGACGCUCAGGCACGAAAGCUAGGGGAGCGAACAGG
rnacentral:rRNA from 1 species